rnacentral:rRNA from 1 species
AUGCAUCAAUUGAAGCUUGUGCGCAACAUGAGGGCUCCAAACGAUCCAUGGUUCACAGAAUACCUACUACGCAUUGGAAACGGAACCGAGGAGACAAAUGAUGAUGGUGAAAUACUUCUACCUACAAGUAUAUGUGUGCCAAAUAAGGCGGAUGAUAAUGGCCUUGAUAGACUCAUUGACAGUAUCUACCGACCUGCUUCCCUAAAAGAUCCAAAAUACAUCACGUCAAGGGCAAUUUUAUCCACAAGAAACGACUGUGUAGACAAAAUCAACCUACAAAUGAUUGAU